UACAGAGGGGGCAAGCGUUGUUCGGAAUUACUGGGCGUAAAGGGCGCGUAGGCGGUACUUCAAGUCAGGCGUGAAAGCCCCGGGCUCAACCUGGGAACCGCGCUUGAGACUGGAGAACUAGAGUUCGGGAGAGGAUGGUGGAAUUCCCAGUGUAGAGGUGAAAUUCGUAGAUAUUGGGAAGAACACCGAUGGCGAAGGCAGCCAUCUGGACCGACACUGACGCUGAGGCGCGAAAGCGUGGGGAGCAAACAGG
rnacentral:rRNA from 1 species